UACGUAGGGUGCAAGCGUUAAUCGGAAUUACUGGGCGUAAAGCGUGCGCAGGCGGCUUUGCAAGACAGAUGUGAAAUCCCCGGGCUCAACCUGGGAACUGCAUUUGUGACUGCAUGGCUGGAGUGCGGCAGAGGGGGAUGGAAUUCCGCGUGUAGCAGUGAAAUGCGUAGAUAUGCGGAGGAACACCGAUGGCGAAGGCAAUCCCCGUGGGCCUGCACU
rnacentral:rRNA from 1 species